ensembl:snRNA U6 U6 spliceosomal RNA
GGGCUCACUUCGGCAACACAUAUACUGAAAUUGGAAUGAUACAGAGAAGAUUAGCAUGGCCCCUGCACAAAGAUGACACGCAUAUGUGUAAAGCAUUCCAUGUUUUA